UACGUAGGGUGCGAGCGUUAAUCGGAAUUACUGGGCGUAAAGCGUGCGCAGGCGGCGACAUAAGACAGGUGUGAAAUCCCCGGGCUUAACCUGGGAAUGGCGCUUGUGACUGUGUGGCUAGAGUUCGGCAGAGGGGGGUGGAAUUCCACGUGUAGCAGUGAAAUGCGUAGAGAUGUGGAGGAACACCGAUGGCGAAGGCAGCCCCCUGGGUCGCGACUGACGCUCAUGCACGAAAGCGUGGGGAGCAAAC
rnacentral:rRNA from 1 species